AAGUUUGCUUGUGAAUUCUGCUGUUAUUUUCUAGUUUCCUUUUAGUGCCUGGCCCUUGUAGCCUGUUACCUGACAGAUGUUCUGUUGCUGUUUUGGGGAAAUUCUGGAAAGGGAGGGAAAAAUACAGUAGUAGAUCCUUCUUUUCUGUUUAGGUAUGGUCUAUUUCUGUCUUUUUUCUUCUUUCUUUUUUUUUAGAGUUCAAGUGAGUCAUGUAAGCAGUAACAUCGGUGACUCACAUUCUGUCAGAAUUAUUGUCGUAGGGAUGGCAUUAUGCCAAGAAACUUCUCGUUCUUCACAUACAACUAGCAUGAACGUCGUGACACACAAUGCAGGGAACUGGAUGAGUAUAAAGAAGUGGAUGUGUUGCAGGUGUAAUGCAUUGGUACUAACUACCGCAAGUCCAGGAAGACCCAUGGUUCUGUUAGGUAAAUAUAUGAUACUUUCCUCCUGCAAAACCUAACUAAGUUCCUAACAAAGUUUGUUUUCUGCUGACCAAAAAGAACUAGCAUUUGCUUGUUUAUGUUUGUAUUCAGUUAUUAUGGGAAGAUAGCAUUAAAGAAGUGGGUUUUACAUUUUGCUCUGAGGGCAGAAAAGCCCCUAUCUCACAGUGUAUCCAAAAUUUGUAUUGUACCUUCUAACAUGCUGUAUGCAGCACAGCCUUCUAUUUUCCUUUAUAAUGACUCCUCAUGUGCUGCUGGUAAUACUGUGGUAUUGACUGUAUGGAUGUGGGAAACUUACAUUAUAAAAUUGCAAGGUCUUUGCUAAAUGCAUUAGGUUUCUUAAAGAAAUAAAAAUGUGUUUUUAA